AUUUUACUGUCUGUCUUCAUGAAUUUAAGAAUUUUGGGUACCUUGUAUACAUGAAAUCAUAAAGUAUAUAUCUUUUUGAGACCAGCUUAUUUCAUUUGAGAUAAUAUCUUCAAAGUUCAUCUUUGUCAUAAUAUGUCACAAUUUCCUUUUUAAAAGGCUGAAUAAUAUUCCAUUGUGUGAAUAUUUCACAUUUUGUUUGCUCAUUCCACCAAAGAUGGAUAUCUGGGUUGUUUCCACCUUCGGCUAUUGCAUGCAAUGCUGUUAUAAAUAUGAGUGAAUGUCUCCCUCUUGCUGCUAUAAAAGAAGUCAGAGAAUCCCUGCAUAGAGACUGGAGAGCUAUUCAAGGAUCACCAGCAGCUGCUGCCCCUGGCAAGCUGUGAUCUUCAAAACCAAAUUUAACGGGAAAUCUGUGCUGACCCCAAGCAGGAGUGGGUACAGGAAUCCAUGACGUACUUAGACAACAAAUCCCCAGCUCCAAAGUCUUGAAUACUCACACCUGAACUGAAACCAAGCCAAGACUUAAGAAGCAAACAAUCUUAUAUCCCCUGUCCUUUGUGAGACUUGAUCAGUUUAUUAUAAUCCCAAGGAAGAUGAGCUCUGUGUAAUAAUGUGAAUUAUAGUUUUUAAGUAUUGAUUUUUAAAGUUAUUAAUAUUUUAAUUUAAUCUGCUAUGAAUUUUGGUGUGGUUUAGAUGUAAAACUCUGGCUGCAUCAAGUCACUUGUAGUCCCACAAAAACUGUGGGAUGCUCCUCCCUGUCUACCUUGCCAAUAUUAUGAAGGGUC
rnacentral:lncRNA from 1 species